AUAUAGUUUGUAUUCUAGUUGCUUUUCAUUCACUGACAAUUCGAUAUCAAGAAAUUGCACUGUCUUAGAGUCAAUCUUUGAAGUAACUCUGACAGAUGUUGGUAAAUUAUUGAUAUAUUCCACAAAUUUCUGAGCCUCAGUUUCUGUACCGUUCCAUAGGACUAAAAUAUAAUCUAUAAAAUGAUAAUAUUUUACAAUCUGGUGUUUAAAUUGUUGUAUG